UACGUAGGGUGCGAGCGUUAAUCGGAAUUACUGGGCGUAAAGCGUGCGCAGGCGGUUAUGUAAGACAGGUGUGGAAUCCCCGGGCUUAACCUGGGAACUGCAUUUGUGACUGCAUAGCUAGAGUACGGUAGAGGGGGAUGGAAUUCCGCGUGUAGCAGUGAAAUGCGUAGAUAUGCGGAGGAACACCGAUGGCGAAGGCAAUCCCCUGGACCUGUACUGACGCUCAUGCACGAAAGCGUGGGGAGCAAACAGG
rnacentral:rRNA from 1 species